rnacentral:rRNA from 1 species
CUUUACUGCAACUUGACGUUGGAACUUGGCUGUAUUUGUGUAGGAUAGGUGGGAGACUUUGAAGCAGGGCCGCCAGGUCUUGCGGAGUCGUCGUUGAAAUACCACCCUGGUGCUGACGAGUUUCUAACCGUGUCCGUAAGCCGGACAUGAGACAGCGUCUGGUGGGCAGUUUGACUGGGGCGGUCGCCUCCUAAAAGGUAACGGAGGCAUUCAAAGGUCCCCUCAGCGUGGUCGGUAAUCACGCGCAGAGUGCAAACGCAUAAGGGGGCUUAACUGCGAGACCGACAGGUCGAGCAGGUACGAAAGUAGGAGUUAGUGAUCCCGCGGUUUAGCGUGGAAUUGCCGCUGCUCAAUGGAUAAAAGGUA